rnacentral:rRNA from 1 species
CCUACGGGAGGCAGCAGUGAGGAAUAUUGGUCAAUGGACGAGAGUCUGAACCAGCCAAGUAGCGUGAAGGAUGACUGCCCUAUGGGUUGUAAACUUCUUUUAUAAAGGAAUAAAACGCGGCACGUGUGCCUUUUUGCAUGUACUUUGUGAAUAAGGAUCGGCUAACUCCGUGCCAGCAGCCGCGGUAAUACGGAGGAUCCGAGCGUUAUCCGGAUUUAUUGGGUUUAAAGGGAGCGUAGAUGGGUUGUUAAGUCAGUUGUUAAAGUUUGCGGCUCAACCGUAAAAUUGCAAUUGAUACUGGCAGUCUUGAGUACAGUUGAGGUAGGCGGAAUUCGUGGUGUAGCGGUGAAAUGCUUAGAUAUCACGAAGAACCCCGAUUGCGAAGGCAGCUUACUAAACUGUGACUGACAUUGAUGCUCGAAAGUGUGGGUAUCAAACAGGAUUAGAUACCCGUGUAGUC